GAUUAUGGCUCAGGACGAACGCUGGCGGCGCGCCUAACACAUGCAAGUCGAACGGAGAUUACAGGCGGAAGUUUUCGGAUGGAAGCUUGUAAACUUAGUGGCGGACGGGUGAGUAACACGUGAGCAACCUGCCUAUCAGAGGGGGAUAACGAUUGGAAACGAUCGCUAAUACCGCAUGACAUAGCGGAACCGCAUGGUUCUGUUAUCAAAGAUUUUAUCGCUGAUAGAUGGGCUCGCGUCCG
rnacentral:rRNA from 1 species